AUGAGUAAGAAGUCAAGCAAAGGGGGCAGGAGACCUGCGAGGAUGAGCAAGGAGUUCCUGGCAAAACUCAAACAGAAGAAGGAAGUAUACAGAAGGUGGAAAGGGGGACAGGCCACUUGGGAGGAAUAUAGGAACGUUGUCAGAGUAUGCAGGGAUGCGACGAGGAAGGCUAAGGCCCGUUUGGAAUUAAAUCUGGCAAGGGAUGUGAAGGACAACAAGAAGGGCUUCUUCAAAUACAUCAGUAGCAAGAGGAAGACUAGGGAAAAUGUGGGCCCUUUGCUGAAUGGGGUGGGUGCCCUGGUGACGAAGGAUGCAGAGAAGGCAGAGUUACUGAAUGCCUUCUUUGCUUCAGUCUUUACUGCUCAGGCCAGCCCUCAGGAACCCCAGACCCUGGAGGCAAGAGAGAAAGUCUGGAGAAAGGAAGACUUUCCCUUGGUGGAGGAGGAUCGGGUUAGAGAUCAUUUAGGCAAACUUGAUACCCACAGAUCCAUGGGCCCUGAUGGGAUGCACCCACAAGUGCUGAAGGAGCUGGCAGAUGUUAUUGCUAGGCCACUCUCCAUCAUCUUUGAAAGGUCAUGGAGGAAAGGAGAGUUGCUUGAGGACUGGAAGAAAGCCAAUGUCACCCCAGUCUUCAAAAAGGGCAAGAAGGAGGACCCAGGAAACUAUAGGCCAGGCAGCCUCACCUCCAUCCCUGGAAAGGUGAUGGAGCAGCUCAUCCUGGAGGCCAUCUCCAAGCAUGUGGAGGACAAGCAGGUGAUCAGGAGUAGUCAGCAUGGCUUCCCCAAGGGGAAAUCAUGCUUAACCAAUCUGAUAGCCUUCUAUGAUGGGGUGACUGGCUGGGUAGAUGAGGGGAGAGCAGUGGAUGUUGUCUACCUUGACUUCAGCAAGGCUUCCGAUGCUGUCUCCCAUAACAUCCUCAUAGGGAAGCUCAGAAAGUGUGGGUUAGAUGAGUGGACAGUGAGGUGGACUGAGAACUGGCUGAAUGGCAGAGCUCAGAGGGUUGUGAUCAGUGGCGCAGAGUCUAGUUGGAGGCCUGUAGCUAGCAGUGUCCCCCAGGGGUCAGUACUGGGUCCAGUCUUGUUCAACUUAUUCAUCAAUGACCUGGAUGAAGGGACAGAGCGACCCUCAGCAAGUCUGCUGAUGAUACCAAACUGGGAGGAGUGGCUGAUGCACCACAGGGCUGUGCUGCCAUUCAGAGGGACCUGGACAGGCUGGAGAGCUGGGUGGAGAGGAACCUCAUGA
rnacentral:lncRNA from 1 species